ensembl:lncRNA
AUUUUGCAUUUGUUGUAUCAAAAUAUUAUUAUAUAUAUUUUAGUUUAGUACUUUUUUUUAUGCUUUUGAAAAAUGAUUCCAACAAAAAAACGUCAUUUUGUUCAACAAAGACAAAAAGCAGCCCGUGAAAACUCUUUCAGUCCUGGGAUUCUCCUCUACAGUGUUGUCAUUACUAUCCUCCAAAAAUAAAAGGUUAUUAUUGUGGUAUUGACAAAAAGCUGUUUGCCAUUUGAUAAUAUAGUGCUCUAACAUGUAUAUUGUCGUCAACCUUUAGCUAGCAUACCUCUUGGAGCUCCCAGAGAGCCACGUAUCUUCAACCAUUUGAAAUGACUGAGUUUCAUCAGUAUUUCAAAUCAAGCUUACAGGGAUCUUACUUGACUGAUGCAAAGUCAUGCUGGAUGUUUUUGUUAUAAAAGAAAAAAAUCGCAGAGGGGAGGAUUCUAAAAGCCAAAAGAUCGCCACAAGAAGGUAAAACCUAACCCCAACACUCAUCUGUUAGAUUUAUGUUUUGUUUUCUGUUUUAAAAUUCAAGUCAUGCAAGUCACCCAAAACUGUUACCCUAAAAAAAAAAAACGCUUAAUUAAAAGCUGCUAUUAGUAAUGUAUUCCGAGCAAAAUUAGCUGUACAAAACAACCAGAAAUGGUUGUAAUGCAAGUCUUGCUCAAAUAACAAUGGUCCAUUCAUUUCACUGCAAAAAAAAUAACUUGAUUUUAUUUUUUAUAGUGAAGAAUACACUCAAAUCGUGUGAACUCCUAUUGGUCAAAAAAUAUCUUUCAGCUCAAGUUGCAUGAUCCUGUUAUAGAAUGUCACUGUUGCAUGCGUCUGGUCCAGUGUUGCACUUGCAUGGCCUAGGCUCAUUUGGUCUUUCUCUUUCUAGGUGGUCGAUACGUACGGUGGAUGUUGGAAUACUGUGUGCUAUACCUCAGUGAAGGAAUCGUGGUCUUGAAAGGGCACAGGAAGUGCAAAUGCAACUGUAUUUCCGACACUCAGGUUUCACAGACUCAACUAUUUUCAGUUGCUAAUUUGCCAAUGACUUUUUAACUUGAAACAUUUUUAUGAAGUUUUUUCCAUAUUACAAUUGAGUACAUCAUUUUACUACUUUUUACAUUUUGAUACAAAAAAGGUUUAAAUGUUUGUCUAAAGUUGGCUGCUC